rnacentral:rRNA from 1 species
AGUGAACGCUGGCGGUAGGCCUAACACAUGCAAGUCGAACGGCAGCACAGUAAGAGCUUGCUCUUACGGGUGGCGAGUGGCGGACGGGUGAGGAAUACAUCGGAAUCUACUUUUUCGUGGGGGAUAACGUAGGGAAACUUACGCUAAUACCGCAUACGACCUACGGGUGAAAGCAGGGGAUCUUCGGACUUUGCGCGUUUAAUUAGGCCGAUGUCGGAUUAGCUAGUUGGCGGGGUAAAGGCCCACCAAGGCGACGAUCCGUAGCUGGUCUGAGAGGAUGAUCAGCCACACUGGAACUGAGACACGGUCCAGACUCCUACGGGAGGCAGCAGUGGGGAAUAUUGGACAAUGGGCGCAAGCCUGAUCCAGCCAUACCGCGUGGGUGAAGAAGGCCUUCGGGUUGUAAAGCCCUUUUGUUGGGAAAGAAAAGCAGCAGGUUAAUACCCCGCUGUUCUGACGGUACCCAAAGAAUAAGCACCGGCUAACUUCGUG